rnacentral:rRNA from 1 species
CACGAGAAAUCCUGUCUGAAUAUGGGGGGCCCAUCCUCCAAGGCUAAAUACUCGUAAUCGACCGAUAGUGAACCAGUACCGUGAGGAAAGGCGAAAAGAACCCCGGGAGGGGAGUGAAAUAGAUCCUGAAACCGCAUGCAUACAAACAGUGGGAGCCCCUUCGUGGGGUGACUGCGUACCUUUUGUAUAAUGGGUCAGCGACUUACGUUCAGUAGCAAGCUUAACCGCAUAGGGGAGGCGUAGGGAAACCGAGUCUGAUAAGGGCGAUAGUUGCUGGACGUAGACCCGAAACCAAGUGAUCUAUCCAUGGCCAGGAUGAAGGUGCGGUAACACGCACUGGAGGUCCGAACCCACUAAUGUUGAAAAAUUAGGGGAUGAGCUGUGGAUAGGGGUGAAAGGCUAAACAAACUUGGAAAUAGCUGGUUCUCUCCGAAAACUAUUUAGGUAGUGCCUCAAGUAUCACCGACGGGGGUAAAGCACUGUUAUGGCUAGGGGGUCAUCGCGACUUACCAAACCAUUGCAAACUCAGC